GUCCCCGUUCCCGUCAGCGCUCGGCAACGCCGCCGUGGCGCGGGCUGGGCCGAUGGCCGACGUCCAUCCGUCGCUCUCGCUGUACGCCUCGUCCGGUGCGGUCGUGGCUGGUAGUUGGCUGCUGCUCAUCGGCUUCGUUCCUCCCCUCCUCCUGCGCAAGUUUCACAUUCGGCCAUUGACUCGCACGAGAACAACCGGGUGAAGUUUGGUGGCGGGGUUAACCUAGCUAGCUGCUGCCAGCAGAACAAAACUUUUUGUUUUUGUUUGCCGUGGUGGCAUGGUCAAAGCUUGUCUCCGGGCUCCGCUCCGGCGGGCGCAUCCGGCGUGACUCUGUGGGGUUCCCCUCGGCCCACACACACUUUGUUCGUUGUGCUGCAGUACCAUGCAACCUGCGUUUGGUUCGCACUCGAUCAGGGUGAGGAUGGACGCUGCCUGAUUUUCUGUGUUCUGUGUGUGGUGUCUAUGGAGUAUAUGGACACGUCACGUCGUCGUCCGCGGGCAGUCGCAACAAACUACGGUUCGUUUUCUGGAACCAAAUUGUUACAAAAUAACAUAUUACAAAGUUAUAUGUGAUAUAGUGACCAAUCCAAGGGGCUCGACGAACACAUCCCCAAGGGACACACCCCUUGGUGACCCCUGUCACAUGUAUAUAAACAAGUCUUCCCUGCAAUAAAGGAUAUCGCUGUCAUUUGUAUUCUCUCUGUCUCUCUCGACUGAGUAGACUUUAACACGUUAUCAGCACUUUUGCUCGCGGGAGAACAGAUAGAAGUGGUUGUUGGCAGGAAGAAAAAAGGGCGCUCACUGUUGAAGAUAAUUGGAGGGUUCGAUCUCUAGAACAACAGGAAGGUACGCAACCUAUCGUUCCUCUCCGCGUUCGUCGCUUGCGUGAAGAACUUUGUGAUAACCAUCGUUCGUGGAAGCACGCAACUAUGCGGCCGCGACCGCUACGAC
rnacentral:lncRNA from 1 species